CUGGCCCUGAAUCAAGGCUGGCAGCUUUCUGAUGCUGUUGAUCUUUCUAUGGUCUGUUGGCCAUUUCAGAACUUGGGCAGUGAAAUGGUCAAUUCAUUAAAAAGAAACAGCU
ensembl:snoRNA